CCUCCAAGGAUUUCACGGACUUCCUCCUUUGUAGCAUCCUCAUCUUGGGGGCUAUGAUGCAAGAGAAAGGUAGAAAAUGAUCUUGAGAGUGGAGAAGGGUUGGAUUGAACUGAAAUCAAGGAGGAGAAGUCAGUUUUCGAGAGGUUUCCCAUGGAUUUGAUGGCUAGGAUUUGGAAAUUUAGGAAAAACCAAAAAUGAGCC
rnacentral:lncRNA from 1 species